UCCCUAGUGACCGAUAGUGAACCAGUACCGUGAGGGAAAGGUGAAAAGCACCCCGGAAGGGGAGUGAAAGAGAUCCUGAAACCGUGUGCCUACAAGUAGUCAGAGCCCGUUAACGGGUGAUGGCGUGCCUUUUGUAGAAUGAACCGGCGAGUUACGAUCCCGUGCAAGGUUAAGCAGAAGAUGCGGAGCCGCAGCGAAAGCGAGUCUGAAUAGGGCGCAUGAGUACGUGGUCGUAGACCCGAAACCAGGUGAUCUACCCAUGUCCAGGGUGAAGUUCAGGUAACACUGAAUGGAGGCCCGAACCCACGCACGUUGAAAAGUGCGGGGAUGAGGUGUGGGUAGGGGUGAAAUGCCAAUCGAACCUGGAGAUAGCUGGUUCUCUCCGAAAUAGCUUUAGGGCUAGCCUCAAGGUAAGAGUCUUGGAGGUAGAGCACUGAUUGGACUAGGGGCCCCUACCGGGUUACCGAAUUCAGUCAAACUCCGAAUGCCAAUGACUUAUCCUUGGGAGUCAGACUGCGAGUGAUAAGAUCCGUAGUCGAAAGGGAAACAGCCCAGACCGCCAGCUAAGGUCCCAAAGUAUACGUUAAGUGGAAAAGGAUGUGGAGUUGCUUAGACAACCAGGAUGUUGGCUUAGAAGCAGCCACCAUUUAAAGAGUGCGUAAUAGCUCACUGGUCGAGUGACUCUGCGCCGAAAAUGUACCGGGGCUAAACGUAUCACCGAAGCUGCGGACUGUUCUUCGAACAGUGGUAGGAGAGCGUUCUAAGGGCUGUGAAGCCAGACCGGAAGGACUGGUGGAGCGCUUAGAAGUGAGAAUGCCGGUAUGAGUAGCGAAAGAGGGGUGAGAAUCCCCUCCACCGAAUGCCUAAGGUUUCCUGAGGAAGGCUCGUCCGCUCAGGGUUAGUCGGGACCUAAGCCGAGGCCGAAAGGCGUAGGCGAUGGACAACAGGUUGAUAUUCCUGUACCACCUCCUCACCAUUUGAGCAAUGGGGGGACGCAGGAGGAUAGGGUAAGCGCGGUAUUGGAUAUCCGCGUCCAAGCAGUUAGGAGA
rnacentral:rRNA from 1 species